rnacentral:lncRNA from 1 species
GGCUCUCUGAUCAUACUUUGAGGAAAGGCUUAUUACUUCAUUUGUGUCUUUUAAAAAUCAGAGUGAGAGUUAUGUGGACAUGUCAUUAGGAUAUUUAACCCUUGGUUAUUCUAUAAGCAAAAGGAUAGCUCCAGGAAGACAAUUUCUAAGGAUUUAAGUGGAUGAUAGUCAUGUUGACAUUUUUAUUAGCAGAUGAAACCUAGAAAAGGUUUUGUUAAUUUUGGUGACUGUGACUGAACCUGUCUUGUAAAUUGCUAAAACUUCCCGAGCCAUACAUCUAGUUGAAUUGUUAGUCUGUCUCUUGGAUAACCCUCUUUCUUGCUAA